AUUCCCUUAGUAACGGCGAGUGAAGUGGGAAGUGCUCAAAUUUAAAAUCCUGCAAAGGAGUUGUAAUUUAUAGAACGUUUUGUAUGGAAGUUGGGAUUAAAGUCUGCUGGAAAGCAUGCGCUAGAAAGGGUGAUAGCCCCGUUCAAUCCUUAACAACCUAAUUAACGAACGUCUCAAAGAGUCAGAUUGCUUGGGAAUGCAGUCUAAAUUUGGUGGUAAACUCCAUCUAAAGCUAAAUAUUGAUCAGUGACCGAUAGCAAACAAGUACCGUGAGGGAAAGAUGAAAAGAACCUUGAAAAGGGGGUUAAAAGUACGUGAAAUUGUUAUUAGGAAAGCACUUGGUUUUAUUGUGGAUUAAGUGAGUCUGUUUCGGCAGAUACUGACUUAAUUAGUCAUGAUCAGUUAGAGUUGAUUAAAAAAGGAAGUAACAAGGUAGUAUUGUAAUGAUACACUUACAGGUUACUUUUUAUUAAUUGACUCUGACUGAGGAAUGCUUUUUAAAAUAAUUUUAUGUUAAGUUUUAUGGAUUGUUGCUAAACAACAAGUUGAUUAGUACCAUGAAUUGAUCUUUAUAUAAAAUUAUUUAAAAACAGGAUCAUGAUUAAAUAAUACCAAAUGACCCAUCUU
rnacentral:rRNA from 1 species